CCUGAACGCUGUCGGCGUGACUAAGACAUGCAAGUCGUACGGGCGUAGCAAUACGUCAGUGGCGCACGGGUGAGUAAGGCAUCGCUAAUCUGCCCCGGGGCCUGGGAUAGCCAGCCGAAAGGUUGGGUAAUACCAGAUGAGACCACGAACCGGCAUCGGUUUGUGCUCAAAGGUUCGCCGCCCUGGGAUGAGGCGAUGUGGUAUCAGCUAGUUGGUGGGGUAACGGCCCACCAAGGCUUCGACGCCUAGCCGGACUGAGAGGUCGGCCGGCCACAUCGUGACUGAGACACUGCCCGAACUCCUACGGGGGGCUGCAGUAAUGAAUCUUCCGCAAUGCACGAAAGAGUGACGUAGCGACGCCGUGUAAAGGUUGAAGUCCCUCAGGAUGUAAACUUCUAAAACCUGUUAGAAAGUUCUGAUCGACAGUCUAUAAGUGACGACUAACUCUGUG
rnacentral:rRNA from 1 species